ACGUAGCAGAGCAGCUCCCUCGC
rnacentral:piRNA from 3 species